GGUAGUGGUAGCUCAGUGGUCAAGACAUUGGUCAACUUAUCCAAAGGUCAUGAGUUCAAGUCCCAGCAUUGCCA